UGAUCUUUAUCACGACCUACUAUGCAGACAUCAAAAUAGAUCGAUGGAUCCGAUAAGCAAGGAGAUACGAUCGACCUGGUUACGCUAUCUCGAUGAUUUAAGGUGUAGCAGUCAUUCGAGUCACUCGAUGAAUUGAGAACAAGUGAUCGCGUUAAAGGCUGAUAGAUAUUCACACGGUAAAUCGACGAUGGAGUCUGUUUUCGAAUUGUGCGCCUCUGGUACAGCGAAUUGCCGGACGUGGUUGACGCGCGCGAUUGAAAAUAGACGCUUCCGGUUUCUCCUGGACACGUGCACGGGAUUCAAGGCACGUAAUGUGUGCCACGGAACUUGACCGAACCUCACAAAGCGAGAGUUCAAUUGAACAGCCGUUGGCGUUCUUCGCGCGAUUUGCAGCUGCGAGUAACCGGCACCGAUUACGAAUUCGUUUUCAACGCCUCUCGUCUCUCGACUCUAUUGUUAAUAAGUGACGUUCAUUUCCUCUAUUAGGAUUGGAAAGCGAAACGAAGCGAUCUUGGAAUUGUUCCCGAGCUCGAUGCAGUUUCGCAAUUACCUUUCUGAAAGAUUCUACAGAGAGAGGCAGAAAGAGAGUGAAAUACACGAAUAAACUUUUUACCCAGAUUCUUGGCAUAAUGAGCCAUUUCCAUUCGUAUUGCUGCGUUGUUUGUAUAAUAAUCGUGUUGCUGUUUGUGGGAAUAAUUAUAUGUAAUUAUAUAUAAUUAUCGUAUACAAUUGUUUCAAUUUCUUUUAUGGAUUUAUCAUGUCGUUCCACGAUCUCGAUGCUGUUUUUUGACGAUAUCGACCUCAAGAUAUUUACUAUCAAAUAAUAUCGAUAAAAUUAUCACAAAGACGCGAGAGAAAAAACACAUAUAGGAAUGAUACGAAAAAAAGUUUCAAUUAAUUUUAUCUCUUGUCUGUUUUUGCAAAGUUUGAACACAUACGUGUGAAAGAUGUCUUAUAUCAAUUAAAAAACAAUCCUUGUCAUUCUAAAUCUGAAUCGUCAUUACAUUUACCUAUGGUUUUACCUGCCAUUAAGAUGAAAAUGAAACAGUCCUUGAAAUAACAUGGAUAUAGUACAGCGGACUGUUCGAACGAAAGUCACGUUGAGCAAACUUGCUAAUUCCAUUUGUCGUAUCAAGGUAAGCAGAGAUUGGUGCAAAUGAAAAAUCGGAUACGCGUAUCGACGAGUUGACAAUUGGAAAAUUGCGAAUGCAGAAUGCUUUCAUGUUAGCAUUGAGAAAAUUUGAAAGAAUUACUUGUUAACAUACGAUAAAAAUCCUAUCAGCUGCGAACGUGUUGAACAGCUUUGUGACGCGGUUGGUCUUAUCUUAUCAUCAUGGCCGUUGUGACGUUUGCACCUCAGUUCGUUGUUGAAUCUCGUAAGCUUCAAGACACCGAUGAAUCGAGCAUCCGGGCAUUACGUAUCGAGAAAUCGCGACUCGCUUCUCGGAAGUGAAUCCAGUGCAAGAAGGGUGAAAUCAACUUCGUUGAUUGCUUUUGAUAUAACAAUGACUAUACUAUAUAUGGAACAUAGACUCUUAAAUAUAAAGAGGAUAAUGGUUCUCUUAAUUCUUAAUUCUCUGUCGUAUAAACUGUGAACGUUACGUAACGCGAAAGACACUGAUUUAAACAAUAUGAAAAAAUGAUUCCAAUGGUCUGUAAACUGGAAAUUCUGAUAUUGUCAUGGUAAUCUAAAUCCUGUGUAAAAAAUUAAUAAAACUUACCUAAUAUCUAAGAGAGAAAAUCUCUGUUUAGAAAAUAUCUGUGUCAUUUUAUCCAAUGAAGCGGUAACUGUAUUUAUUAUACUUAUUACGCAUAUAUUUUUACCAUUUGCUAGAUAUUUAUUGAUAUUUCCACGACAGGAAUAGAUAUCGCGUUUUUCUUUUUUUGAACGUCAUUCCGGAGACUUGCAAACUUUAUUUGUUAAAAUUUCGUUACCAAACUACGUACUACGAUAGUUUUGAUACAGUUAAGCGCUAUACAAAUAUUUUUCACACCGAUCGUAUCUUUUUUCUCAUUGUAAAGAAACAGCGAAAAAUAGAACGAUGAAGCGGAUACCAAUGAAAAUCGCAAUGGUAGUACACGUUCAUUCACUGGAGUCGCGAGAUUAUAACUUUAUUUCGCUGCUAUUUACGCAACUGUGUUCGCCGGUCGUAAAAUCGCACGGAUAACAUUUAAUGGAUGAAAAUGUUAAGCAACGGAACCUACGAUCCUGAGAAACAGUAAGGAAUACACGCGCGAGAUUACACGGCGGGUGUUCGAUGGAAAAUGUCAGAGCUGGGUGCGCCGUGGUUUGUUAUGUGUUUGUUUGCGCGCUAUUGUAACACCGUGCAAUGUUAAAUGCGAACCAAAGAGACAAUCCCCGGGCGAUUGUUUGUUCUAGAACCCUGGUAAUCACGAGAUUUCGCGAAUAAGCGCUCCCCUGGGAAUAAUUAGAAGCACAGCGAAUCCGUGAAAACGGAGAAAUAUUUUAGCGAAUCUUGGAACACUGGCAAAGUUGGUCUUCUACUCUGCUAUUAUCUACCACUAAUUAUACUGCAGAUCUUCCACGAGAUCUUCGGAGAUUGAGAGAGAUCUCGCAGAGACUGUCAAGACAUCUCGUCUAAAGCAAUCGACGACAGAGCGUAUCGAUGUGUAUGGAGAUUUUCGAAUGCAACAAAGGAAACAAUAAUCGACUCUUCGAUUGUUUCAACGUCUCUUCAAACUUGCCGUUCGUAUAGUUGCUAAACGCUAAAGGCAAAUUCGAUGGUUGGAAUCUCGCGUUUCAAUCCGAGUUGACAAACUCUACGGAGAAGUUGAAACCAUUUCGAAGCUGGAUUGUACGAAAAUACCGACGUGUACCAGUCUACGGCUACAGAAUUCAAUUAAAUGGGAGACAGUACGGAAUUGUUGGGCGCAAGCAACGGCACUACGGCAGAGAAUGGCAAAGAUCUAGGUGCGCUAAAGCGUCUGCGGUGAAAUAAAGUAUACGUAGAAGGACUGAAACCGUAAUCCGGCCAAGCGAGCCAGUCUCUUGACCUGACAUUUAAUGCUCUUACACAAGUUGCAACUACCCGUUGCUCUUUGUCCGCCAAGAUGGUGCUAUUCAUCGAAACGAUACGAGUAGGCCAAAAGGAGGGACGGGCCAAUGAUUUUAUCGUGUCGCGUUUGAAUGUGCUCGACGCACCGCAAUUUGCUAUUUUCCACGGUAUAUGUACCAUAUCAGUUGCGAAAUCGACGUUGGUAUUGUCUUGUCAGCGGAGAUUUGUUGGAACAGACUUUUGCGAAUACGACUAGUGAUCGUUAUUAUCAUUAUUAGCAUAGUCCUGAAUCGGAUAUGAGAAUUCAUCGAAUACGCGUGCAAUAAACACUCUGUAUAAUCAGACACGUGCGAGUUCCACCGUGAAAUUGAGAUUUCCACGGUUCUAGAGGCACGGCGAGCAGAUAUGGGAAACCUCGCCGGUUACAACGAUGGAUUGUUCGCACUAGCAAGUCGUGUUCGUCGGGGAUUCCAAUUCUGAAAUUGAUUAAAUCAUUUGACUUGCGGUGGUACACGUCCGGUGCUUACUACCAAGUACAAAUCCGAAACACUUGCUAACUUUGAUAGAUUCGAAAUCGAGUUUGACCGGAACAGAAUGUGCGCGACGAUGUCUUGUAGACGUAUCUAUACGUUGUACAAGGUUUAAUUGGAGUUAAGUGAAACGAAUUACUAUGUAGUAAACAAAUUAAGUAUAGCGGUGCCGAUGUCACGGCACUGGCUGAUAAAGGAAAUCGAAUAACUGGAGAAUGAAAAGAGACAAUUUUAACCUGUGUUUCUUCGCGAUACAGAAGAAAAACAUGAGAAUUAAUGGUACGAUGAUUCAGAGUGCGUCGACUAUCUUUAACUGCUGCUCAGCAGCGAGACCGUUCUCAAAAUAUUUAAUUAUACGAUCAGUGAGGCUUCUUUCAACCGUGGAAUCUUUUCCAAGUUCUGGCAAAUAAUCUUUCUUUAAAAAUAAAAAAUAAAGUGAAUUCCUAUGUAAAGCUUUUCAAAAAAUUAUCUUCCAGAGAUAAGUAAUCUAAGCGACUGGUUAACUGGUGCGUGUUGCACGAUUUAAUGGGUUAACGGGUUUCGUUCGAUGCGACGACUUUCGACUAUCGCGGCGAAUCAACGAUCAGGAGAGAACCGAGUAACUUACAGGAUCAGAAAUGAAACAUUAUGAUAGUACGGGCCUCGUGCGUUGCGUGGGUCAUUGAGAGUGUCACGCGUGACGUGGGAGCGUGUGUACGCAGAGGUAUGUCAGAGAAAAUACGGCGGAAACACGCACCAGCCGGCGGCACCAGCGAGGGAAAAGAAUGAAAGAGAAGGGACAUCGUCGAGGAGAAAAGAAGACCACGUACAAGCCAGACGAUCCAUACGCUGGAAUAUAUGCACACACAUACUGAAGGAUCGCAAAGGACCAAGCAGGAGAAAGAAGUAAACGUUGCUGGCGAGUCGAAAUCUUGUAUUCGCUGGACUAAGCCGAAGAUAUUUAUCAGCAGAGAUUAAAACGGGACUUUCCGUGUGUAACUGCAUAAAUUUAACUUUCCUGCUAUGUAUAUGCACCAACACAUAUCCAGAUACCGUAACUUUUCGGUCCGGUCGACGAAUACCACGAGCAGCAUCCGAGACAAGAAUUAAUAUGACAAUCUCUACGACUUAAAUCUCGAAUGGUCCUCGAACGAACAAUAUUCGAGUAUAUUGCAAGCAAUACAAAAUACUAUACUACGCUAUUUAUAACACAAAAAAUAUUAAAUUA